AGGUGGAAACACUUCUCGAUCAGCUGAAAACUGUGGGGUUUUCAUACUGCGUGAGAAGUAGUCGUUUUAAAGAGCCUUCUUCAGAUGUUAUGAAAAGAAGACCAUGUGACUCCUCGUAAGAGAUUGAGGAUCAUGGAUACUAGAAAAUCCAACUGCCCAGCAACUUUAAAUAUGAAGUGUAUAAGGGUGUAUCCUGAUUACAGUAUGCACUCAGCAACUGAACACAGGGAUACCAAGGCAAAAGUUCUUGCAAGUCUACAGAAAGAUUUGGCAUUGCCAUGCCCGCCAAAGAGCUAUCUACGUUAUUAUUUGACUGCUUCCCCAGCAAGUGCACACACACAUGCUACUGAAAGUGUUGAAGCAAGUGGGUACAUACAUCCUUCACUUAGUACU